rnacentral:rRNA from 1 species
CCAUUUAAAGAGGUACGCGAGCUGGGUUUAGAACGUCGUGAGACAGUUCGGUCCCUAUCUACCGUGGGCGCUGGAGAAUUGAGGGGGGCUGCUCCUAGUACGAGAGGACCGGAGUGGACGCAUCACUGGUGUUCGGGUUGUCAUGCCAAUGGCACUGCCCGGUAGCUAAAUGCGGAAGAGAUAAGUGCUGAAAGCAUCUAAGCACGAAACUUGCCCCGAGAUGAGUUCUCCCUGAGACUUUAAGUCUCCUGAAGGAACGUUAAAGACGAUGACGUUGAUAGGCCGGGUGUGUAAGCGCAGCGAUGCGUUGAGCUAACC